UGGGGAAUAUUGCACAAUGGGGGAAACCCUGAUGCAGCGACGCCGCGUGAACGAAGAAGGUAUUCGUAUCGUAAAGUUCUGUCCUAUGGGAAGAUAAUGACAGUACCAUAGAAGAAAGCUCCGGCUAAAUACGUGCCAGCAGCCGCGGUAAUACGUAUGGAGCGAGCGUUGUCCGGAAUUAUUGGGCGUAAAGGGUACGCAGGCGGUUUAAUAGUCGAAUGUUAAAGAUCGGGGCUCAACCCCGCAAAGCAUUGGAAACUGAUAAACUUGAGUAGUGGAGAGGAAAGUGGAAUUCCUAGUGUAGUGGUGAAAUACGUAGAUAUUAGGAGGAAUACCAGUAGCGAAGGCGACUUUCUGGACACAAACUGACGCUGAGGUACGAAAGCGUGGGGAGCAAACAGG
rnacentral:rRNA from 1 species